rfam:Bacillus circulans strain RIT379 contig9, whole genome shotgun sequence.
CUCUUAUCAAGAGAGGUGGAGGGAUGUGCCCUAUGAAACCCGGCAACCGUCAGUAUACUGAAACGGUGCCAAUUCACACAAAGCGUCAUGCUUUGAUAGAUGAGAG